AGACGUCUACAUUAGAUACCCGGGUAGUCCCAGCCGUAAACUAUGCGCGUUAGGUGUAUCGGUGACCACGAGUUACCGAGGUGCCGAAGGGAACCGUGAAACGUGCCGCCUGGGAAGUACGGUCGCAAGGCUGAAACUUAAAGGAAUUGGCGGGGGAGCACCACAACAGGUGGAGCCUGCGGUUUAAUUGGACUCAACGCCGGGAAGCUCACCGGAUAGGACAGCAGAAUGAUUGCCGGGCUGAAGACCCUGCAUGACUAGCUG
rnacentral:rRNA from 1 species